UACGUAGGGGGCUAGCGUUGUCCGGAAUUACUGGCGUAAAGCGCACGUAGGCGGAUCGUUAAGUCGGGGGUGAAAUCCUGGAGCUCAACUCCAGAACUGCCUUCGAUACUGGCGAUCUAGAGUCCGGAAGAGGUGAGUGGAACUCCUAGUGUAGAGGUGGAAUUCGUAGAUAUUAGGAAGAACACCAGUGGCGAAGGCGGCUCACUGGUCCGGUACUGACGCUGAGGUGCGAAAGCGUGGGGAGCAAACAGGGAUUAAGAAACCCCAGU
rnacentral:rRNA from 1 species